rnacentral:tRNA from 2 species
GGUCCCGUAGUGGAGCGGUUUAACACGCCUGCCUGUCACGCAGGAGAUCGCGGGUUCGAGUCCCGUCGGGACCG